GAUGAACGCUAGCGGCAGGCUUAAUACAUGCAAGUCGAGGGGCAGCAGUUUUGUAGCAAUACAGAAGCUGGCGACCGGCAAACGGGUGCGGAACACGUACGCAACCUUCCUUUAACUGGAAGAUAGCCCACCGAAAGGUGGAUUAAUACUCCAUAACAUAUUGAAGAGGCAUCUCUUUGAUAUUAAAGCUCCGGCGGUUAAAGAUGGGCGUGCGUCUGAUUAGGUAGUUGGCGGGGUAACGGCCCACCAAGCCUUCGAUCAGUAGCUGAUGUGAGAGCAUGAUCAGCCACACGGGCACUGAGACACGGGCCCGACUCCUACGGGAGGCAGCAGUAAGGAAUAUUGGUCAAUGGACGCAAGUCUGAACCAGCCAUGCCGCGUGGAGGAUGAAGGCCCUCUGGGUUGUAAACUUCUUUUCUUUGGGACGAAACCCCUGUUUCUACGGGGACUGACGGUACCAGAGGAAUAAGCACCGGCUAACUCCGUGCCAGCAGCCGCCGUAAGAC
rnacentral:rRNA from 1 species